rnacentral:lncRNA from 1 species
UCUGAUUCCGGCAACUUCUGCCGCCGCCACCGUUCGGACGGUUCCGACGCCGCCCGACCCUCCCUCUCCAAAAUACCACCACCAUGAGCCUCCUUGAGCAUCCACGGACCCAUCACCACCUUCCAUUUAGCUCGGGAACCACCGUGGGCGAAACGCCCAAUUCGUCUCCGCCGGAGACUUUCGGUAAUCCUCGUCGCCGGCGAGACAGGGGCUCCCGUCGGCCAUGCAGGCCACCGGCAGGACCGCAUCGGCCUCCUCGACACGACGAUGGUCUCGGCUCACCGUGGGGCGCCGUCGUUAGCCGGCGAACGCCGCCGAAGCCCCGCCUCUGCUUCUGUACAGACGCGCGCGCGAGGAGAGGACGAACCCGACAGGUGGGGCCCACCUGUCGGUGAGCCACCGGUUCGCUCCCGUGCGGCUGGGCGACUGGGCUCGGCCCAAUAGCGCUCUUCAGCUAAUCAGCGCACAGGGCGCUUCUCAGCUCUCUUCUUUUUAUUCUUUUCCAGUAGCGUUCCAAUAAUUCCACAUCAGAUAAAUUACACCUAAAUUUAUCGAUUCACAUUUAUGCAUGCUUCUAAAAUCAUGAAUUGUUAAUCUAGAUAGGGUGAACAUUUUUGUUAUGCUUGGUAUUUGUGAAAUAAAUUAAAGAUUGCCUUUAAUAUUUUAAUCCAGCUUAGUAAUUUCAUAACUAAUUCAUAUAAACUCUAAAUAAUUUUAUUAUUUUUCUGUUAUUCCUUAAAUAUCCUCUAUUUUAUUUUAGUAUUUAUUUCAAAAAUAUCUAAAACACUUUUUAGUAUUGUGUUUGUAUUAUGUGGUGAUUUAGAUAUUUUUGAAAAUAGGGAUUGGAGGGGAGAUAAUAUUUUCAAACCUUUGGAGUGCACCCAAUAUUGUUGCAUGCUCAAGGCAAGCAUCUUGAACACUUGAUAUGGUGAAUGUUUGAUAAAUGUUUGCUAGAAUAUUUUAAGCAUGGUUUGAUUUUGCAUAUGGGUAGUAAUAUUGCAUGCAUGCAUGGUCAUGUAUAUAUUUUCUCUUGCAUGCAUUCCAUUCAUGUAGCAAUAUGCAUAAGUUGUGAUGAUCCAGGAAAGUGCUCCUCCUUGGACGAGCCGGUGGGCACGGGCCAUAUUUGACACGGUGGUGUCAUGAGAUAUAAAUGGAAGCAUGCAAGGGUUGUGGCCCUGUCCUCACGAUUUGAUCGAAAGAAAUCUUAUUGUGCUAACCCCUGCAGGGAAAACAUAAGCCUCCUGAGUCGACCAUAGAUCGAGUCUUGAUCCGGUAACCCCCAUACUUGUUCCGUGCUGCCACGGGUCCUUCCGGAAGGAGGGUACGGCUUAGUAAGUUGAUAACCCCUGUCCGGGUGCACACCACCCAAAGAACUACGAUGAGGGUUGAAGCCUGUCAUCGGGUCAGGGGCAUGGGUGUUUCCGGCUGUCGUGAUGCCGAGAGGGGGUCACCCCUUGUAAUCCGCGCGUUUAAUAGUGAUCCUGUGCUUUUCGGAGGUUGUGGCCUCCCUGACUUAGAGUUUUCUGGAACGAUGCUUUGGGUGAUUCCUGGCAUCUGGACGGAGUUUCUGGUGUGUGCAGGUCAGGCGUGUUUUCAACCCAAAGACCGUAAUGGGAAUUAGUCAGUACCGUGUUUUCAACCCAAAGACCGUAAUGGGAAUUAGUCAGUACCACGGUACUGACUAAGGAAAUCCCAUAAACGUGGGUAAAGAGUACAACCUCUACAGAGUUUUAAACCUAUUCGAAUAGCCGUGUCCGCGGUUAAGGACUACAGUCUGGGUUGGUCAAGUGUCGGUCUUAAAGUCGGUCUUCAGAGGAAAUAAUUAAAAUUGAGCAUGGUUUUGUUUUGUAGAAGAAUUAUUACUACUACUGAUGUUAUUAUGAAUAUUAUUGAUGCUAUGAUUAUUAUUGUGGACUAACCCGUUGCUCUUAUUUUAUUUUCAGAGUGUCUCAGGGGCUGGCUGGACAACCUCGGACACUCGUAUUUAUUUUCAAGACCUCUCGUGGUGUUGCCUGAGUUCUCGGAUGGUACUGUCUCGUCCGAUUACUCUCUUAGACACCCGAUUGGCAUUUAUUUUCAAGACUGACCGUGGUGUCACUUGACGCCCGACUGGCAUUUCUUUUCAAGACCUCUCAUGGUGUUGCCUGAGUUUUCGGAUGGUCUUGUCUCGUCCGAUUACUCUUUUAGACACCCGUUUGGCAUUUCUCUUCAAGACCUACCGUGGUGUCACUUGACAUCCGACUGGCAUUUCUUUUAUUUUAUUUUCCUUUUACUUUUCUUGUUCACACUAACAUGUUAAUAUAUUCUUUUAUUUGUGCAUGCUAAUAUUUUAUCAUGCCAUGAUUUAAUUCCUGUCAGCAUGCAUUUAAUAUAGUCUAGUAUGAGCAUAUGCAUAUAGUUUAGUUCAUCAUGAUCAUAUAAUUGUCUGCUGCAUUUGUUAUAUCAUUUGUUCAUGAUGUUUGCGAGUGCAUUCAAACAUACUCACAGGCUUGUCCCUGGCUAUUUACUUGGCCAGGUCGGAAUUUCAGCAAGGAGUACCACAGCGACGUCCGUGCGGAGCCUAGGAAUGUGAUCACGCGAGAUAGGAUUCAACCGGGUCAACUGUUCCUGUGGGAAUGAAGCCCCAUCGACGUUGAAGGACCACAAGUCAAUUCCGUCAUCCACCACCAGCUAUCAGCUUGUACUCAUCAGACCUUUAUGGUCACCAGACAUCAUGGUUGUAUCGCUAGACCUUUACGGUCUUGUAUCAAAUUCUUGUAAUUGCUUGGUAUUCUGUAACAAGGACGUGUCCACCAGUAACAGAAAUACUGGGCUGGUGAUGACACGAGGGGCUAAUACCAAGGCUGUCGGGGCCGGAUUUUCGGGAACACAAUAUUCCAGAAAUUAACCCCUCGUGUCAUCACCAGCCCAGGAUUUCUGUUACUGGUGGACACGUCCUUGUUACAGAAUGCCAAGCAAUUACAAGUAUUUGAUACAAGACCGCAAAGGUCUAGUGAUACAACAAUGAUGUGUGGUGACCAUAAAGGUCUGAUGAGUACUAAAUGGUAUCU